rnacentral:rRNA from 1 species
UACGGGGGGUGCGAGCGUUGUCCGGAAUCACUGGGCGUAAAGCGCACGUAGGCGGAUUGUUAAGUCAGGGGUGAAAUCCUGGAGCUCAACUCCAGAACUGCCUUUGAUACUGGCGAUCUUGAGUUCGGGAGAGGUGAGUGGAACUGCGAGUGUAGAGGUGAAAUUCGUAGAUAUUCGCAAGAACACCAGUGGCGAAGGCGGCUCACUGGCCCGAUACUGACGCUGAGGUGCGAAAGCGUGGGGAGCAAACAGG